rnacentral:misc_RNA from 1 species
GACGUAGGGCGCGAGCGUUGUCCGGAUUUAUUGGGCGUAAAGAGCUCGUAGGCGGUUUGUCACGUCGGCUGUGAAAACUCGGGGCUCAACUCUGAGCGUGCAGUCGAUACGGGCAGACUAGAGUUCGGCAGGGGAGACUGGAAUUCCUGGUGUAGCGGUGAAAUGCGCAGAUAUCAGGAGGAACACCGGUGGCGAAGGCGGGUCUCUGGGCCGAAACUGACGCUGAGGAGCGAAAGCGUGGGGAGCGAACAGG